UUCUACUUCUCUGCUGAGACAUCUACCUUUGACAUUACUGAUUCCUUUUGUUGUUGGCGGUGUGACAACAAAACAAAAAUAGCUACGAUAUUUCUGCCCACAUGAUUUUCCAGAACUUCUCCAUUCCCUAUCAAAAAACCAAACCAAAACAAAAAACAAGGUGGAGUUUAUGUUUACAUCAUCUGAGCCUAGAUGAGCCUUUGUGACUGCUUUGACUAACAGUAUGGCAGAGCCGUAAUAUUUCUGAAGCUAGGGCAUAAAAGGUGACAAAACUUUCUCAUGGUUUUCUCUCUCUAGGAACAUUUGCUUCAGAGCCCUAAGUGAUCGCAUAAAAACCCUGGCUACCAUACUGGAAAGACCUUGUGAAGAGCCCACAUAGAAAUAGAGAUCCCUGAGGAACCCUGGCUGGUGCAGCCCCCCAGUUUUGAAUCUUCCCAUCCCAGGCACCAGACAUGUGAAGGAGGGAGUUUUCAGAUAAUUCUAGUCCUCUCUUCUUACUAUAACUGCAUGAGAGACCUCAAGCAAGAACCACUCAGCUGAGGCCAGUAAACCCCCAAAGCUGUGAGAGGUAUGAAAUGAUUGUUCUUUUAAGCUAAUAGUUUUGGGGUGAUUUGUUAAGCAGCUGUAGAUAACUGGAACACCUGACUAUUGUUCAUUUAUUUGUUAUUUAUCUAUUGACUACCUAGUAUGCCAGAUGCUUUUUUUAUGUGCUAGGAAUGUGGCAGCAACAAAACCGACAAACGUUUCUCAUCUUCUGGAAUUUAAUUAUAGUGAGAACAGACAGGAUAAGAAAACUAUGUAUUAUGUUAGGAGCAAAAGCAGGGUGGGGGGAUAUAAAAUGUCAUGGAGGAAAGAUUGUAAUUUUAGAUUGGGUAACCAGAAAGGACUUCACUGAGAUGGUAACUUAACAAAGACUUCAAAGUGAGGGAGCUAACCUCACAUAGACCCAGGAGUAUUCUAGGCAGAUGGAGUGAGUGCAAAGAAUUUGAGGUAGAAGCUAGCCUGCGUGUUCAAGAAACAGAAAAAGACUGGAGUGUCUGGAAUAAAGUGUGUGAAGGAGAGCUGUAGAUGAUGAGGUCAAAGGUAAUAGGUGGCUAGAUCAUGUAAGGCCUUGUGGAUCCUAGCAAGGACUUGGGCUUUUAUUGUGAAGAAUAUGGGAAGUGCUUGGAAAGACAUCCACAGUGUUGCUUGCUGGUAAUACCAGCCGCAGUCAUCUUUUUUAUCCCCAUGAGAUCAUCUGGUCUCAGAGGCCCAACCAGCUUGUUGGGCCACCUGUUAAGCCUCCAUUGUGAAAAAUCCUCUCAGGGUAGUCGGAAUUAUCUAAUCCAGGCUCUCUAUCCUAUUCCUUACUAUUUUCCUUUGGUCACCUUGCUUGAUGAUCAUCUACUUGUAGUGACUAAUGAAGAGAGAGAAGUAAUCAUUUAUGUAAGUGACAUUUCAUAGCAUUUCUUAUACUGGUUAGAGUAAUUUUACAUAUAAAUAUAUAGUAUAUAUAUAGUAUAUCGUAUUUAUACUCUUACUACAACUCUGAUAUGUAGUAGGACCAAUUGGCCAUGAAACUUAAAAUAGAACAAGAUGAAGCAUGUUGUUCUGUUCUUAACUUUUUCAUUUUAUGUAUGAAGUAAAUAAUAUCUUACAUUCAUGGUAUACAGUUCACGAUCAUGUACAUAAUUUAAUCAUCUCAGCUAUCCUCAGAUGUGAGUGGUGGUAUUUCCAUUUUACAGAUAAAGAAACAGGUCCAGAAGGUUAAGUAACUAAAAGUUACAUGGAGAGCAAGGAUCUUAAAUGUGAGGAAUUAGGGCAUAAACCACAAGUCUGUUGCUUCUAAACCCAGUGCUAUUUCUGUUUCAUCACAGAAACUCAAUAUAAUAUAAGAAUGGCACUUAAGCCAAUUAUGGGGGACAAUUGAGUCAUUUUCUUUCCUGCCUCACGGCACUGGUACAUAACUACCACUGUUCCAUUCCUUGCUAGGGGGAAAAUAGCUAAUGGGAGUCAGGAAUAAUUUGGACGUUUUCCAGCAUAUUCCAGAGAAUGUAUAAAUUUAGUGAUAUUACCAUGAAUUCUCUUCUCAAAUCAAACCAGGGCUCGAUAAUAUGUGGAGGAAAUUAAAAAAGAACAAAGUGCUUCAUCUUGAAGUAACUGUCUAAACUCAGGGCAGCUGAAGUGUGAAUGGCCAAUCUUCAUUUAAUGCUGGCUGAAGAAUGCUUCAUUAGAAAAAUUCAGUCUUGAGAGAGAAAGGGUGAUCCAUCCGGCUGUUGCAAGAGCCCAAGUUGUCCGCAAAGCCCAAGGCCCACAAAGAAUCAUCCACUGUUGCAGAGAGAAUUGCUAGGAUGAAAGGUUUCUUUUUCCAUGAUGAAGUCUCCAGCAAUAAAAACUGAAGACUCUCCUGCUUCAUGACGUCUGUGAAUGAUUUCAGAGCUAUCUUUGAGAACUUAUUCGAAGGAUCAGAAGUGUUUGAUAGCCUACCAAAUGCUAAAACUCAGAGCAAAUACAGCAGGAAGCAGAAGCAAAACUGUCCUUCCAACACCUGUGUGUCAAGUGGGCAGUUGAAUAUAGGAGUGCAUAGCUCAGAGGUGCAGCCUGGCAGAGGAAGAGGAGCCAGCAGGUGAGUUUCAGAAAGAGGGUCACUGAGGCAAGAGGGAAAACCAAAGGAAUGUGGUAUUCCCAGAGCGGAAGAUGGGCAGUUUUCAUUGAGGACUGGUUAGAGGUUAAGGUGAAAUACAAAACACAGAGCAGAGAGAUCAUGGGUGAUUUUAAGAGGGAAGUUUCCCUGGAGUCCUAUGGGUAGAAGUAAAGCUGGAAUAAACCAUGAGAAGGAAAAAAGCCCAGGGUUUUUGUUUGUUUGUUUUACUGUGUGUGAAAGAGAAAUUGAGGAGCUGGACGGGAAUAUUGGAUGAGGGAAUUGGGGUUUUGUUUGUCUGUUUUUACCAUGGGACAUUCUUUAGCAUGUUUGUGCAUUGAUGGGGAUGAUCCAAAAACAAGCACGAAUUGAAAAUGCAACAAAAAGAAGGGAACCCUUGAGAAGGUGCUGGGGUUAGGGUUCCAGAGCUCCAGAGGGUAGAAGGGCUUUUGUUGGAGAAGCUCUGCUUCCUCCGUUGAAACAAGAGAAAUGGAGAAGAUGGAUAUAGAUUCACAGAUGAGGUGGGGAAGAGGACACCUAAAUUCUUAUCUGAUGGUUUCUAUUUUUUAGUGAUAAAGAACAUUUUAAAAAUCAUGUUUAAUUCAUAUUUGAGGAAGGUUUGAGAAGACAAACGGUAGAUGAUAUGAAAUAAUCUUCAUGAUAUUGGAAAAGCUAAUUUACCAGGCAAACAUAAGAGGAGUGUUGAGUGUUUUAUUCGGGUUUUUGAUCAUGAAUUUAAAGUGAAACUGGUCACCUAUAUUUUGUGUGUGUGUUUAUCCUCCAGUAAUAUUCUAGUUUUAAAAUGCAAGUGUGGAUAAACUGGACUCCAUCAGGCAUGUUUUGUUCCAAGCAAGUGUUGACAGACGAGAGAGGUAUAAAGGAGGAGAGGAAAUUUUCAAGGAGGUGAUUAUAAAUUAUAGACUAUGUGAUCUAAAUGAAUAAGAAAGAAAAUAAAAAGAGGGGACUGACUGGUGGGUAAUGAGAACAUGGCUGAUGGUUUGGGGAUGUCAGUGAGGUUAAAAAAUCAUGAGGAGGUGUGAGUUAGAGAUCGGGUUUUCAGAAGCAGAUUUGGAGGUGGUGCUCAAUGCAGUAAUAACCAGGUAGUGUGUGGUAAUAAGACUAGAUCGGCUGUAGUAAAGUGGAGGAAAAAGCAACUGGAGAUGAGAAGGUCAAGGAGCUGAAAAUCCAGAGUUUGGAUGUCCUCUCAUCUUGCACACAUCUCAACGUUUUGUAGUUGUUGGUCUGUCUUUCCAACAAGUAUGUUACUCUCUGAAGGAAGGGACGAUGUUUGUCUUGUCAGUACUUCCUCCCUAAUGCCCAGCAUGGUACCUGACCCAUAAAAUACUCAAUAAAUAUUUACUGAAUGAACAAAUAAGUCUAUUAUUUUAAAAAAUUCUAAAAGUUAUUCCUGAAUUGAGAGGUGCAUCCUGGGACACCACUGUCUCGACUCCUCAUGGACCACUUUUUGUGAGCGGCCUUGUGGGUAAUGACAUUUACUGCUGCUGUGGAUGCUGUGAGAAGCACUCCUGUUUAAUUCUCCAUGGUAUUUAAUAUAGGGGCUUGCUGAGGAAGUAAUUCACUCCCUUACACAUUAUCCCCUCCAUUAAGACCCACAAGGGAAAUUUUUUCUAAGAUUUCAUUGCUAGGAAGACCUGUGACUCUCCUGAGUGAACAGUUUGUGAGUCUCAUAAGCAAAUAUGUUUUCCUUUUUGCUCUGCCCAUUACAGCCAGAUGUGUGGCUGAGGCUUGACUUUAGCAAGUACGCAGAAAAAUACGGUAUCUGUUUGUUAUGAAUUAUUUUACCCUUUGCUUUAUCUGAUUAGCUUUUCCUGAUUUCCUCAUCUUGGUGAUUUCUUCUCGUGUUUUUGUUUCUAUUCUGGAAUCUUUCUUGAAUAUUUAAUGCUAGAGUGUUUUCCCAAGGUUCAGCCAGAUGAAGUUUUCUCUUGACCACUUCAACUGGUGCAAACUUCUGGUGCUCAUGUAGAAAGCAAGCCUGUUAUAAACUAUCAUAGUGAAGAUUCAGAUUAGGUCCAUUUAUAAACAAUACGCAUUUCUGAGGCUUUAUUGAGCUAAUUUGAGUUAAGCUUAGAAUUUCUACAAUAUAUAAUAUUCAACGUGUCAUCUGUCUUGGACAAUACCAGGUACAAAAUUGUUUACGAAAAAGUAAACACAUUUCUGAAGAUUUAUCAGUUAAAUCAAAGGUUCCUAUCUGAGCCUUUAUUAAUUUAAUUAAGGAAUUUUAUGAAUUUUUGACAUAUAUUUGCUUAAUCUAAUAAUUUAAGAAGUGUAAAAAAGAACUAAAUCGCAUCUAAAGACUCUGGGAGCCUGAUAAGAAAGGCAAAUGUGGUAGUAAAGCAGAGAUCAAGAUGACACAUAUGGACAGAGGCCACUGCGGGAUGAGAAGAAUAAAUGGAAAUGAGCAGACGAGUGAAACUCUAUAGAACUAACCACAUGGGAACACUGAACACAAAGAUCUACACACUGUAAAGGGAAUGAAAGGGAAAAACAGGAAACAGGUUACAGCUGUGAGCUUUGCAGUACACCAUAGUGGAGAGUCAUUAAAUACAUUAAGCCCAUUAAAUACUGUCAUUGUGGGAAACUGUAUUCCAGAACACUCGUUGACACCUAUUGUAUUUUAUAAGAGCUGCUUUCCUCAGAUGGAGAUGCGAAGCUGGCAGGACAGAGAAUGAGCCCAGCUCAGCAAGGGUGCUCACACAGUGGGGCAAGAGACCAAUUUGUUGGGGACAGCUGAAUGCUUCUUUCUCUAAAGUUUGAUCACUAGUCUCAUUAAGUGUUGUGUAUGAGAAGAAUGAGAUUGUUAAUUGUGUUUGCCGUGAAAUACAUGAGUAAGCAAGUAAAACACAUUAAAAAUGUAUUGACAACUGUAAAAAUAUUCCAGAAUAAUGUAACUUAUGUUGGUACAGCUAGUUUUACAUAUUUUUGUAAACUACCUAAAAUCCUUUUUUUGGGAGAAGCUGGGUUAUUCAUUAAAGAAUAUAAAACAGGACUACAUGAAGUCAUAUUGCCACUACUGAUUUUAAAAAAUGACUCUAGGGAUGGAAUGUUUAUUAUUAGUGUUAUUAAAACUUAGAGUUAUCAUACACUGUGAGCUUCUAAUAUGCUAAGCGAUAUGUUAAACAAUUUUUUUUCUUUUUUUUUUUUUUGCGGUACGCGGGCCUCUCCCUGCUGUGGCCUCUCCCGUUGCG